GUACACAUGGCCGAGUGGUCUAAGGCGGGUGACUUAAGAUCUCCUAGGAGCAGUCCUGCACGGGUUCAAACCCCGUUGUGUACA
rnacentral:tRNA from 1 species